GAUCCUGGCUCAGGAUGAACGCUAGCUACAGGCUUAACACAUGCAAGUCGAGGGGCAUCAGUUUGGUUUGCUUGCAAACCAAAGCUGGCGACCGGCGCACGGGUGAGUAACACGUAUCCAACCUGCCUCAUACUCGGGGAUAGCCUUUCGAAAGAAAGAUUAAUAUCCGAUAGCAUAUAUUUCCCGCAUGGGUUUANAUUAAAGAAUUCGGUAUGAGAUGGGGAUGCGUUCCAUUAGUUUGGUUA
rnacentral:rRNA from 1 species